GCAACAACUUGGCAGGGGAGAUACAAUGAUCAGGAAGAUCGUGCUCCCAGGGUGAGGCUAUCCCAUGCACUUCGGUUGUGCUGAUGCCUGCGUGUCCCCAAGUGUGGGAUACUCAACUGCAAAAUUUGUGGGAGUGUGGGACUGUGUUUGCACUUUCCCCUG